UACGUAGGGGGCAAGCGUUGUCCGGAUUUAUUGGGCGUAAAGAGCGUGUAGGCGGCCAGGUAGGUCCGUUGUGAAAACUCGAGGCUCAACCUCGAGACGUCGAUGGAAACCAUCUGGCUAGAGUCCGGAAGAGGAGAGUGGAAUUCAUGGUGUAGCAGUGAAAUGCGUAGAGAUCAUGAGGAAGACCAGUGGCGAAGGCGGGUCUCUGGGCAGUAACUGACGCUGAGGAGCGAAAGCGUGGGGAGCGAACAGG
rnacentral:rRNA from 1 species